rnacentral:rRNA from 1 species
UACGAAGGGUGCGAGCGUUAAUCGGAAUUACUGGGCGUAAAGCGCACGUAGGUGGCGACGUAAGUCGGGUGUGAAAGCCCCGGGCUCAACCUGGGAAUUGCAUUCGAGACUGCAUUGCUGGAGUACGGAAGAGGAAGGCGGAAUUCCCGGUGUAGCGGUGAAAUGCGUAGAUAUCGGGAGGAACAUCAGUGGCGAAGGCGGCCUUCUGGUCCAGUACUGACACUCAAGUGCGAAAGCGUGGGGAGCAAACAGG